AAGUGUGAGACAUGAUUUAUUUGAAUAGAGGAAGUCUUUUAUUUUGAAGAAUGCUUAACAGGAUCUGGUUCUGUUUUGUCACUAUCUUGCUUUUGUUGAAUUUUGGUUGCUAGGUUACAAACAGCUGUUGCCUUAUCAGCUGUUGCCGUUUUUUCUCUUCAAUAAAAACUGAACAGAAAGGUUCAGUAAAAGACAUACGAGCCUCCGUCUUGUUUGAAGAAGCUUUACUCCAUAACAGAUGCAAGUUAAUUCUGUGU